rnacentral:rRNA from 1 species
GACGAACGCUGGCGGCGGGCCUAAUACAUGCAAGUAGAACGAGUGGCGAACGGGUGAGUAAUGCGUGGGAACAUGCCGCAAAGCGGGGGAAAACGAUUGGAAAAGAUAGGUAAUACCGCAUAGUGGCAGAUGGAUCUGCGUUGUAUUAGCUAGUUGGGGAGGUAAAGGCUCACCACGUCGACGAUAAAUAGCCGACCUGAGAGGGUGAUCUGCCACACUGGAACGGAGACACUGCCCAGACUCCUACGGGAGGCAGCAGUGGGGAAUCUUCGGCAAUGGGCGCAAGCCUGAUGCAGCCAUGCCGCGUGUAUGAAGAAGGCCUUCGGGUUGUAAAGUACUUUCCGCGGGGAGGCGUUACCCGCAGAAGAAGCACCGGCUAACUCCGUGCCAGCCGCCGCGGUAAUAC